rnacentral:tRNA from 1 species
UUAGUUAAAGCCAAAGAGAGGCUUUUCAUUGUUAAUGAAAAAAAUGGGCAAUCGCCCUGACUAAA